rnacentral:tRNA from 2 species
GGAAAGAUGGCUGAGCGGUUCAAGGCGUAGCAUUGGAACUGCUAUGUAGGCAUUUGUUUACCGAGGGUUCGAAUCCCUCUCUUUCCG